rnacentral:lncRNA from 1 species
GUGUUUGUGUACAUGAAGGGGGGCCUUUGACACUCUUCACCCCGCCCCUCCCUUGCUUAGUCGCUCGGCUGGCCCGGCUCACCUUCGGGGUGAAGGCUACCAGCGAGCGUUAUAGCAGACGACUUUAAUAAAUGCAGGCGGCAGCAGGAACUCUGGGAACUUGGGUGCCCUUGCCUGGCAGUAAGGGUUGAAUUAUCCGGAUCUGAAAUACUUUACAGAGCCGAGGGGUGAUAGGCUCUGCAAAAGCACUUUUUGCCCCUCUCCUUUAUGCCAAUACUCGCUGACUGUGCACACAAGUCAUAUUCAGUAUUAAAUACAAACCGGUCUGUAAUUCAAUGGCUCUAGCAAGACGCCUCUGAGAGGGCCAGGUGGCGGGUGCAAGUUGCUCAUUAACCCUUUAGAGUCGCAGUUUGCAGAUCUGAGUUAGAUCCCCGGCUUUGAGGUCCUUCAGUUGCCCUCCUCCCCCACCUCCCCCCGCCACUGCGAGAAAAAUGUGCAAAGAGAAGGAAAUUUGCACAUCAAACGAGGGGCAAUCGCGGCGGUAGAUGAACUUGAUUAGGCAGACGCGUGAGAUCAAAGUGGCCGGGACCAAAGCGGACAGGGUCCAACGUGCCAGCACUGCCAAGAGAAGGCCUUUUGUACUCAGGUUAAAUAAGAACAUCCUGCAAGGAGUCUGUUCUUUUAUGCAGCCUAAAGAUCAAGUAAUAAUCAUUGACACUGAUACUGAGCAUGUCGAUUUUGAAGAGACUAGCAUUUCCUGGUAAUGAAGUGGAGUAUAUAUCCAUAUAUUUCUGUUUUCUGGAUGAGAAGACUAACCUAACUAAGUAGGAACCUUGAAGAAUCAUGUUCUUCCUAGGAAUUACAAAUCCCCCGAUUCCAUGUCUAACAUAAUUUCUACUGGCCUCUUUGCUUCUCAUGCUUUAGUACCAGUGCUUCUGAAUUUGAAAGUCUUCAUGCAAAUUGCCCAGGUUUGCUGGCAGCUGUGUCUCAGAAAAAGCUGUCUUCAGCAAGGCAGAAGCAGACCAGGGUGGUCCAGAGUUGGUGACUAUUAUGGCAUGGCUACCCAGGGCCAGAGAGGUGAGGUUUAAUGAGAAAGAAGAUAGAUGAAAAUGACUCCUCCUCCUGCUUUCACUGCUGCAGCAACUCAGGCCUGCAGACAAGAUCCAGCUCUAUUGCCCAAGCUGGAGUGCAGUGGUGAGAUAAUGAUUCACUGCAGCCUUGAUCUCCUGGGCUCAAGCAGUUCUCCUGCCUCAGCCUCCUGAGUAGCUGGGACCACAGGCACCCUCCACCAUGUCUGGCCAAAAUUUUUUGAAUUUUUUGUAGAGACCAGGUUUCACCAUGUUGCCCAGGCUGAUUUCAAAUUCCUGGGCUCAAGUGAUCUUCCUGCCUCAGCCUCUCAAAGUGCUGAGAUUACAAGUGUGAGCCACCACACCCAGCCAAAAUAUAAAUACGCCUUUAAUAGUAACACCUAAUUACCUAACACCAUCAAAAAUGGGGUGCUCCAUGAAGAAGCACAUAAUUCAAAUUAUUGAAGUUUAUCCCUUCUAAUGACCACAUAGAUUUCUCUUGCCCCAUUAAAAAAUUAGAUAAUCAGUAUUUCUAGGAUAGUUGUUUUCUUCCAACCAAUUAAGGCAUAAUCUAUGUAGCAGAACAUUCAGAGGAUGAUGCCUGGUCAACAUUUGAAUAAACAAUCACUGUGAUGUUACCUCUAUUUAAGAUGACUCCAAUAAAACUUCUAUGGUUUGCAUUAUUAGUUGAUCAGACUUUAAGCAUUAUCUUUUGAUAGGGUCAAGGAACCUGUCUUAACUCCCCAUCUCUGACCAAAAUAUACUUGUUUUCUAUAAGCUAUAAAGCCAGAUAGCCAAUUUUAUGAGAAUUGUCCCUAUACUAUAUCCAUGUGAGCGAUGAGUGCCUGGCAUGAAGAUGCAUAAAGGAGGCAGUAAUAUACAACAACUGAAGCAUAACCUCUGGAGCCAGUCUUCUUCAGACAAAUCCCAAUUCCAUUACUCACUGGCCACCUAAACAAGCUACUUAAUUCAUCUGCCUCAGUUUUCUUCAACUGUUUAAUGGGUAUGAUCAACAAACCAACUUCAGUGGGUUAUCAUAAAUAUUAAUAAAUGAGAGAAUGCAUGUGAAACAAAGCUAUAAGCAAUCAUUAGUAAUAAUAAUAAAAGAUGAUCAUUAUUUUUCAUGGAGUUUUUGCUAGUGCCAUGUACUGUUUUGUUAAUACUAAUUGCCUGAUUUUCUGUCCAUGAAUUUUUGGCUGAUCUAAGUUUCCACUUCCCUCACCCCUUGGCUGGGAUCUAGGUAUGAGAGUUGCUUGGCAAGCAAACUAGAGAUAAGUAAGGUGUUACUAUAUAAAGUUAAUGUAGGCACAUAUGAAUAUCCAAACAUGCCAUAAUGUUGGGGUUUGACCCUUUCCCUAAUACUCAGUUUCUUCAUUUGAAAUGUUCUAAUUGGUGUUUUUAUGUUGG